AGUGAACGCUGGCGGUAGGCCUAACACAUGCCAGUCGAACGGCAGCACAGUAAGAGCUUGCUCUUACGGGUGGCGAGUGGCGGACGGGUGAGGAAUACAUCGGAAUCUACUUUUUCGUGGGGGAUAACGUAGGGAAACUUACGCUAAUACCGCAUACGACCUACGGGUGAAAGCAGGGGAUCUUCGGACCUUGCGCGAUUGAAUGAGCCGAUGUCGGAUUAGCUAGUUGGCGGGGUAAAGGCCCACAAGGCGACGAUCCGUAGCUGGUCUGAGAGGAUGAUCAGCCACACUGGAACGGAGACACGGUCCAGACUCCUACGGGAGGCAGCAGUGGGGAAUAUUGGACAAUGGGCGAAAGCCUGAUCCAGCCAUACCGCGUGGGUGAAGAAGGCCUGCGGGUUGUAAAGCCCUUUUGUUGGGAAAGAAAAGCAGCAGGUUAAUACCCCGCUGUUCUGACGGUACCCAAGGAAUAAGCACCGGCUAACUUC
rnacentral:rRNA from 1 species